rnacentral:lncRNA from 1 species
AGAGGGCGUGUGACAACAGAGAGGGUCCCCUUACACCGCGUCGGGCAUGGACCGCAGUUCCCAGCAGCGGCACUCAUGGCGCCACUAGGUCCAUCCCCACUCGCUCCUCUUCGUCUUCCCACUGCUUUUGAAUCCGAGUGGACACAGAAAUAUCAGUGGGCAAGUGGCGUCAACAUUGGGACCUAUAGAUCAAGAUUCCCCAAGCUGGAUGAACCUGUGGUUGUGAGUACCUUACCAUUUGAUGUUUUCUAUUAG